rnacentral:sRNA from 1 species
CUAAAGGAUGUCUUAACUGAAAAGCUUAAAGACAGGAGCAAUACCCCCAAAUGGAAUGACCGAGAUUUUGACGUAGAAGAAUGGUUGAUGAAAGACUAGAAAUUUAAAAGGUAUAGAAGAAAGGACUGAAGGAAAUGUUAUAUAUAUUGAAAUGUGAUGUUACAUUGCUUUUCCUUUUCCUAAUUUAUCUUUAUCUUUUCAUAACAGGACUUGACAACUCACCUAUAUGUUUGAGUACAUGUUAAGAAUUGUGAACGCCUUACAAGUGUGUCCCCACCAACACCGAAAGAUCUUGUGGAACUUGAAGAUCCAGUAAUGGAAGAUGUUCUGCUACGAUUGCUUCCUUUCUUAACUAAUUUAGUAACGUUGGAAGUUGAAAACUGAGAUUCCGUCAAAGCCAUUUUUGAUGUCAAAUGUACAACAGAAAGCAAAGAUGUGAUAUCUAGAGGAUCAACCCUUUUUCCUUUGAAGAAUUUGACUUU